UUUUCAAAAAGGUCUUUUUUUUUUUCAGAAAAUUUUAUAUAUUGAUUACUUUUUGGAGAAAUUGACGAUUGUGUCACUCCACUUUGAAACCCGUGUCGUCGGCCAUAAGAUAUACUUAUUUCACAAAGUAGAAAUCGAGUGAAAAUAUCAUACUUCAAAUCUAAGUUUAUUGACGAAUAAAUAAAUAUGAAGAUAAAUACUAUGUAUAUAAAAUAUUGUAUGUAAAAGAUGAUAAUUUAAAAAAAAGCAAACUUGAAAAAAAAAUUAAAAUAGAUGUUGUGUCAUCGAUAGGUUCAGGUAAUUGUAUGAAUGAGCGUAAAGAUCACACAAAUCCAAAUAUCCCAUGAUUUAUUCAAUAUUCUUUUUCUAGUUUUGCAUAUAAUCAAAUUGUGAUUUACAACAUUUAUACAUUUAAUAUGUCUUAUUCAAAGUGCACAAAAGAACUACAUUUGUUUAAUCCAAAUAUGUUAUCAUGUGUAUGUCUAUGGAUAAACAUGCAGAAAUGUCUAAGUCAAUGCAAAAAAACAAUUUAAUUGAUAAAAUUAUUAUAUUACAGUAUAGAAACAAGUAUUGUCAACUUGUUGGUUAAGAAAAUUAACACAUUACAUCUAUUUUGCAAAAAGGACUGUUGAUAAAAAUAUUUCCGCGGUAGAUCUACAAAAUGUCUUUUACGAAAUAUGAUACGGAAAGAAAAAAAGAAUUUAGCGUAAUAUCGAAAAAUGUUUACAGCUUUGAUUUUUUAACUCUUUUAAAAAAGGUGAUUGCGAUACAAACAACCUUUACUUUUAUUAAAUUAAAUUAAGUUAAUUUAUUAGCUGAGUAUUCGUUGUCAUUGUUGUUGUUGUUGUUGUUAUUAUUGCUAUUGUUGGUUUGGUUGAAUAUGUUAAUCGAGUUAACUGUACCUAUUGAUUGACUUCAUCUAUGAACAAUUGUGUAUAAGUUACAGGUUCUGAGACGCAUUUCCGGCAACAACUUUUUUAUAAUGGUUAUCUACAAAAUACUCUUUUUGCACGUAACAUCACAGAAUGUUGAACUAAAAACACAGAUCUGCGUACACUUGCUGCAUGUACAUAUUGCUGCAUACUUUAAACUGCAUGGUUUUGCAAUACUUAUUUAACAAAUUAUUGUAGAAAGGACGUUUUUGGAUGUAGAAAGGACGUUUCUGGAUGUAGAAAGGACGUUUCUGGAUGUAGAAAGGACGUUUCUGGAUGUAGAAAGGACGUUUCUGUAAUAAUUUAUGUAAUAAAUAAACUUAUUACAUAAAUCUUGCUAAAGUAA